rnacentral:lncRNA from 1 species
AUAAAGUAGUCUAAGUGGGGUGGCUCAUAAACAAUAGAAGUUUGUUUGAUUUUGAACUUAUUUUUAUUUUGAAUUUAUUUUUAAUAGGUCUGGAAACUGGAGGUCCAAAAUUAUGACUGGGUUCUUAAGAAUGUCUUUCAGACUGUGGACUGCCCAAUUUCCAUCUUAUUCUGAUGUGGAGGCAAUGGAGCUCUCUGGCACCUUCUAUGGGAACUGAUCUCAUGCAUGAGAAUCUCAACCUCUUAGCCUAAUUGUCCUCUAACACUCACCUUCUAGUUCUUCACAUACGAGUAUAAGGAGAACAAAAAUGUUCAGUCAGAUGGCUGGGAGAGAAUAUGCUCCAACUCACAUCUCUAAUGGGGACAUCUUGAACCAAGAUCUUAGAGACAAGGAGAACAUUGCCAAGAGAAUGAGAGCUCUCUGAACCAUCUUUCAUUUCUUGUCCCAGCUUCACAUUUACACAGAGCAUCGUGGUCAGAACAAACCCUUUUGAGUCUGUGAGUCAUACUCUGCUGCUUGUUGACAUUUUAGCUUAACCAUCCAUUGAUUUCAAAUUACCAAAAACAACUACAGAGUGAGCUCUGAAUAAGAACAUGACCAGGCUUUGGUGCUGAAGCUCUGAGUCAAUGAAGUCUACUUCCAAGUGGGAGGAACUUUAGGUAAGAUUCAUGUAGCUGAUAAGCAAGCUUCUGAAAAGGUCAAGAUAAUAGCAGAGUUGCUUAUAGCAAAGAAUUAAUGGAGACAGAAGUUCUAAAAGUUGAUCACUUCAUGAGUUUGUGAGUUUUUGUCAUACGAUAAUAGAAAAUAGUCUGUGCAGCUAGCACUUUGUGUUAGCAAGUAAAUUCCUACAAGUACUUAAAAGAAAAAAAAAAAACAGUUAUGCUAACACAGAGGCAUAGGAGCUAGUAUGAAGGAGUUCUCACUAGCCAAAUAGUUUAAAUACCAAAAUAUUUAAGAUUGCAACUUAUAAGUCAGUAUUUAAAAUAGCUUUAAAAAAUCAAUAAAU